rnacentral:rRNA from 1 species
AAUAUUGCGCAAUGGGGGAAACCCUGCCUCAGCAACGCCGCGUGUAGGAAGAAGGACNNNGGGUUNUCAUCUUCUUUGAUUAGNGACNAACCACCGACGGUACCUAAGGCACAUGCCCUAGCUAACUACGUUCCGUCUGCCCCGGUAAUACGUAGGUGGCAAGCGUUGUCCGGAAUUACUGGGUGUAAAGGGCGUGUAGGCGGGAAUGCAAGUCAGAUGUGAAAUUCCGGGGCUUAACCUCGGCGCUGCAUCUGAAACUGUAUUUCUUGAGUAUCGGAGAGGAAAGCGGAAUUCCCAGUGUAGCGGUGAAAUGCGUAGAGAUUGGGAGGAACACCAGUGGCGAAGGCGGCUUUCUGGACGAAAACUGACGCUGAGGCGCGAAAGCGUGGGGAGCAAACAGG